rnacentral:rRNA from 1 species
GGCACAAUGCAAGUCGAGCGGUAGAGAGAAGCUUGCUUCUCUUGAGAGCGGCGGACGGGUGAGUAAUGCCUAGGAAUCUGCCUGGUAGUGGGGGAUAACGUUCGGAAACGGACGCUAAUACCGCAUACGUCCUACGGGAGAAAGCAGGGGACCUUCGGGCCUUGCGCUAUCAGAUGAGCCUAGGUCGGAUUAGCUAGUUGGUGAGGUAAUGGCUCACCAAGGCGACGAUCCGUAACUGGUCUGAGAGGAUGAUCAGUCACACUGGAACUGAGACACGGUCCAGACUCCUACGGGAGGCAGCAGUGGGGAAUAUUGGACAAUGGGCGAAAGCCUGAUCCAGCCAUGCCGCGUGUGUGAAGAAGGUCUUCGGAUUGUAAAGCACUUUAAGUUGGGAGGAAGGGUUGUAGAUUAAUACUCUGCAAUUUUGACGUUUCCGACAGAAUAAGCACCGGCUAACUCUGUGCCAGCAGCCGCGGUAAUACAGAGGGUGCAAGCGUUAAUCGGAAUUACUGGGCGUAAAGCGCGCGUAGGUGGUUUGUUAAGUUGGAUGUGAAAUCCCCGGGCUCAACCUGGGAACUGCAUUCAAAACUGACUGACUAGAGUAUGGUAGAGGGUGGUGGAAUUUCCUGUGUAGCGGUGAAAUGCGUAGAUAUAGGAAGGAACACCAGUGGCGAAGGCGACCACCUGGACUAAUACUGACACUGAGGUGCGAAUGCGUG